GGGGCUGAUCGGUUUCGACGUCGGGACCGAAGGCUGGAUCGUGCGACCGGAGUGGCCUCAGACUCCUUAAACGGGGGCACAAAAUCAACCGCCGAUGAGCAGUUGACUCUCGCCGCCUGAUCACUCAGACGGUAGAGAGAAAUCGUGACCAGUAAUGGCGCACGGGGCCUGCUCUCCGCAGCCCGGCAACAGAAGCGGAGGGUGACAGCCUGAAAGAAGGCUGACGACGGGAAAGACCGUUGGCAUCGGAGAAAGAUCCGGCGGCGAGGUUUCGGCCUCAUCCGACCCGGCGGUGUGGUUGCCGUAAGCCACUGACUCGGGGAUGGUCGUAGCGCGGACAGUUCUCACCAGACGGACGGGGGUUCGAUUCCCCCCAGCUCCACGA
rnacentral:tmRNA from 1 species